GGCAAGAUGGCCGAGUGGUCUAAGGCGUGUGACUCAAGCGUUUAAGCUUGCCUUCAUCCGAAGGUUUCUCAUGAGGGUAUCCUCGCGGGGGUUCGAAUCCCCCUCUUGUCA